rnacentral:rRNA from 1 species
UACAGAGGGGGCAAGCGUUGUUCGGAAUUACUGGGCGUAAAGGGCGCGUGGGCGGCCGCCUAAGUCAGACGUGAAAUCCCUCGGCUCAACCGGGGAACUGCGUCUGAUACUGGGUGGCUUGAAUCCGGGAGAGGGAUGCGGAAUUCCAGGUGUAGCGGUGAAAUGCGUAGAUAUCUGGAGGAACACCGGUGGCGAAGGCGGCAUCCUGGACCGGCAUUGACGCUGAGGCGCGAAAGCCAGGGGAGCAAACGGG